GGCUGGAGACCGCCGAGUCACCGGACGCCGCCUGCGGGUGCGCGCGAGGUGAGCCGGGGACCCACCGCAGCACUGGGGUGAGUUCUCGCGUGCACCGGUUCACCGGGGCACGCGGAUAGGGCACGUCUUCCCAGCCCGAACCCGUCAGCUAACUCGGUAGGCGGUUGCUGAGGAAGAAA
rfam:Geodermatophilus saharensis strain DSM 45423 genome assembly, contig: Ga0070566_102